rnacentral:misc_RNA from 1 species
CACACACAUACACACACACAUUAAAAAAAUCCAAAAUACAAUAUGAACAUAAAAUGCUUUUUCAAGAAGCAAAUAGGAAACAGAGCUAGAAAAUCAUUCAAAUCUACAACCAAUGUUGUGGUGCACCACCAGGUAGAUCGACAUUCAAAACAAGAACUCCUUCGAAUUCGAUUCUUCAAUUCGUUUAACACCAAAAGAUGCCCAGCAUCUCCAGCUUGUGAGCGAGCUUGAACGUGAAGAAGCGCGGCAGUGUAGGUUCCCUGAUUUCAAUGUUGUGUCGUCAACUGUUGAAAUUCUCGCCGAACCACUAUCGGCGAAGUUACGACGUCGUACUUCGUCACUGAAUUUAUUUGCAAAUUGCAAUGACGCAGGGAUUGAUAUGUAAGGACACCAUUCUUUGGAACUUGAAUGGUUGGCCUGAAAAAAAUCACUCUCUCUUUUUCAGAGAGAGAAAAUUCUCACCAUUUUGGGGUUUUGCUUUCUGCUCACUCGGAGCUUAACUUUGGCCCUCUGCGACUCUCCCUCGAAAGGGCUUCCUUUCCUGACCGUGAGUAUGCUCUCCCCACCGUCGAGUGGCGCGUGUAAAUAUAGUUUUUAUUUGUGCGGCUUUUGCAUGCAGGUUUUGAGGCAAGCUGAAAGUUUGACUGCCGGAUGACCUUGUAUAUUUGGUGCUACGUUGCCGAUCCGCCUUGGCUCUUACGCCGUCAAUUGUGUUGGGGAGCUGGGUUAUUUCUACGGAGUCCUCGGGAAUACGCACUCUGGGACGUUACCGACGCCACAAUAGUGUCCAAUCCCUUCAAGGCCUCGUUAAAAG